rnacentral:lncRNA from 10 species
CUACUUUUGAACACAAAAAUGCAACUAUGGAUACCAAGACAGAUCUGUGAUUGGCUUCCCUAGCUGACUUCUGGUAGAAGAGGGGAAGACAAUCACCUUCAUGUGAGAACCACUUGAAGAGUAAGAAACCAUGUAGGUCAAGGACAGAACCCUGAGGAACACCAUCAUUAUGAGCUGUACCCAAGAAGGAGACUAAGAAAGGUCACAAAGGUGGGAGCAUCUAGAGCAGGCAGUCACAUGGUAAUACAAGGUCAAGAAU